GAUGAACGCUAGCGGCAGGCCUAAUACAUGCAAGUCGGACGGGAUUUGGGAGCUUGCUCCUGAUGAGAGUGGCGCACGGGUGCGUAACACGUAUGUAACCUACCUUGAUCUGGGGGAUAGCCUCUCGAAAGAGAGAUUAACACCGCAUAAUAUUAUUUGGCAGCAUUGUUGAAUAAUCAAAUAUUUAUAGGAUCAAGAUGGGCAUGCGGAACAUUAGCUAGUUGGUAAGGUAAUGGCUUACCAAGGCUACGACGCGUAACCGGACUGAGAGGUCGGCCGGUCACAUUGGGACUGAGACACUGCCCAGACUCCUACGGGGGGCUGCAGUAACGAAUCUUCCGCAAUGCCCGCAAGGGUGACGGAGCGACGCCGCGUGUGGGACGAAGUCCUGGA
rnacentral:rRNA from 1 species